rnacentral:rRNA from 1 species
AUUGAACGCUGGCGGCAUGCCUUACACAUGCAAGUCGAACGGCAGCACGGGUGCUUGCACCUGGUGGCGAGUGGCGAACGGGUGAGUAAUAUAUCGGAACGUACCUUAUUGUGGGGGAUAACGCAGCGAAAGCUGUGCUAAUACCGCAUAAUCCCUAAGGGGGAAAGCGGGGGACCGUAGGGCCUCGCGCAAUUAGAGCGGCCGAUACCUGAUUAGCUAGUUGGUGAGGUAAAGGCUCACCAAGGCAACGAUCAGUAGCUGGUCUGAGAGGAGAAGCAGCCACACUGGGACUGAGACACGGCCCAGACUCCUACGGGAGGCAGCAGGGGGGAAGUUUGGACAAUGGGGGCAACCCUGAUCCAGCAAUGCCGCGUGAGUGAAGAAGGCCUUCGGGUUGUAAAGCUCUUUUGUCAGGGAAGAAACACCGGCUCUAACACAGUCCGGGAAUGACGGUACCUGAAGAAUAAGCACCGGCUAACUACGUGCCAGCCGCCGCAGUAA